ACGCGUGGGAACGUACCCUUCACUACGGAAUAGCUUCUGGAAACGGAAGGUAAUACCGUAUACGCCCUCCGGGGGAAAGAUUUAUCGGUGAAGGAUCGGCCCGCGUUAGAUUAGUUUGUUGGUGGGGUAAUGGCCUACCAAGACUACGAUCUAUAGCUGGUCUGAGAGGAUGAUCAGCCACACUGGGACUGAGACACGGCCCAGACUCCUACGGGAGGCAGCAGUGGGGAAUCUUGCACAAUGGGCGAAAGCCUGAUGCAGCCAUGCCGCGUGAAUGAUGAAGGCCUUAGGGUUGUAAAAUUCUUUCGCCAGGGAUGAUAAUGACAGUACCUGGUAAAGAAGCCCCGGCUAACUUCGUGCCAGCAGCCGCGGUAAUACGAAGGGGGCUAGCGUUGUUCGGAAUUACUGGGCGUAAAGCGCGCGUAGGCGGGCUAUUAAGCCAGAUGUGAAAGCCCGGAGCUCAACUCCGGAAUUGCAUUUGGAACUGGUAGCCUAGAGACCAGGAGAGGUUAGCGGAAUACCGAGUGUAGAGGUGAAAUUCGUAGAUAUUCGGUGGAACACCAGUGGCGAAGGCGGCUAACUGGACUGGUACUGACGCUGAGGCGCGAAAGUGUGGGGAGCAAACAGGAUUAGAUACCCUGGUAGUCCACACCGUAAACGAUGAAUGCUAG
rnacentral:rRNA from 1 species